rnacentral:rRNA from 1 species
AGCGAACGUUUGCGGCGGGCCUAACACAUGCAAGUCGAACGGGCUAGCAAUAGUCAGUGGCGCACGGGUGCGUAACACGUGGGUAAUCAACCCUUCAGCUCGGGAUAACGCCUUGAAAGGGGCGCUAAUACCGGAUACGACGCGAGGAGCUUCGGCUGCUUGCGGGAAAGAUUCGCAAGGAUCUCUGAAGGACGAGCCUGCGGCCCAUCAGCUAGUUGGUGAGGUAAGAGCUCACCAAGGCUACGAUCCCUAACUGGUCUUAGAGGAUGAUCAGUCACACUGGAACUGAGACACGGUCCAGACUCCUACGGGAGGCAGCAGUAGGGAAUAUUGCACAAUGGGGGAAACCCUGAUGCAGCGACGCCGCGUGAGUGAUGAAGGCCUUCGGGUCGUAAAAACUCUGUCGUAUGGGACUAACACAAUGAAGGUACCAUGCAAGAAAGGAAUCGGCUAAACUUCGUAGCCAGCAGCCGCGGUAAU